UGCAGCCCCGUCAAAUUCGGUCCUUGCCUCCUCCGUGGUGGGGACUGGCCAGCCGGCUGCCACAGCAACUUCUGUGGUGUGUGAGCCCCACGUCCCCUCCUGUGGGACCCCGGGAAGGAAAUCACACCACAGACACUG
ensembl:snoRNA